rnacentral:rRNA from 13 species
AAUGAGUUUGAUCCUGGCUCAGGGUGAACGCUAAUAAUAUGCUUUACACAUGCGAGUUGUGCGGUACUAUAUUAAAAUAUCGCAGCGAACGGGUGAGGAAUACGCAAAUAUUUUCUGUCUACCUUUUAAUUUAAGAUAAACUAUACCUAUUAAAAACUUUGAUUUUUUUUAGGGUAAAACUAUUUUCUUAGUUUGUAGUAAUAUUGAAUAGUUUUUUAGUUUUAAACUACUAAAAAGAUAAAAAUUGUAAAAUAAGCAAUUGUUAAAAGAUGAGUUUGUGGAAGAUUAGGUUGUUGGUAGAAAUAAAAGUUUACCAAGCCUUUGAUCUUUAGUUGGUCUUAGAGGACGUACAACCACACUGGAACUGAGACAAGGUCCAGGCUAAUUUUUUGGCCAGCAGUGAGGAAUAUUGGACAAUGAACGAAAGUUUGAUCCAGCAAUAUUAUGUGAAUGAUUGACGACUAAUUUUUGGUUGUAAAAUUCUUUCGUUAAAAAUGAUAAUGACGUUAUUUAAAGAAGUUUUAGUCCCGGCUAAUCUCGUGCCAGCAGCCGCGGUAAUACGGGAGGGGCAAGCGUUAUCCGAAAUUACUGGGCGUAAAGAGUCCGUAGAUUGUAAUAUAAGUUAUAUGUUAAAAUUUAAAGCUUAACUUUAAAAAAAUAUACAAUACUGUUUUACUUGAGUUUUAUACGGAAGAGUAGAAUUUCAUGUUAAGGAGUAAAUUCCAAGAAUACAUGAAGGAAUAUCAUUAGCGAAGGCGACUCUUUAGUACAAACUGACAUUGAGGGACGAAAGUGUAGGGAGCAAACAGGAUUAGAUACCCUGGUAGUCCACACCGUAAACGCUGUCUACUAGCUGUUUGUGGCUUUAAGCCGUGAGUAGCGAAGCUAACGCGAUAAGUAGACCGCCUGGGGAGUACGGCCGCAAGGUUAAAACUCAAAUGAAUUGACGGGGGCCCGCACAAGCGGUGGAGCAUGUGGUUUAAUUCGAUGCAACGCGAAGAACCUUACCAGGGUUUGACAUGAUACGAAUUUCUUUGAAAGAAGAAAGUGCCGUUUGGAACGUAUACACAGGUGGUGCAUGGCUGUCGUCAGCUCGUGUCGUGAGAUGUUGGGUUAAGUCCCGCAACGAGCGCAACCCUUGUUUUUAGUUGCCUUUUAUGGAACUCUAAAAAGACUGCCGGUUAUAAACCGGAGGAAGGUGGGGAUGACGUCAAGUCAGCAUGCCCCUUACACCCUGGGCUACACACGUGCUACAUUGGGCGAGACAAUGAGAUGCAAAUCUGUGAAGACUAGCUAAUCUAUAAACUCGUUCUAAGUUCGGAUUGUAGGCUGCAACUCGCCUACAUGAAGGUGGAAUCGCUAGUAAUCGCUGGUCAGCUAUACAGCGGUGAAUUCGUUCCCGGGCCUUGUACACACCGCCCGUCACACCAUGGAAGCUGGUUAUACCCGAAGUCAUUACUCUAACCAUUUGGGGGAGGAUGCCUAAGGUAGAAUUAGUGACUGGGGUGAAGUCGUAACAAGGUAACCGUACUGGAAGGUGCGGUUGGAUCACCUCCUU